rnacentral:rRNA from 1 species
AGGACGAACGCUGGCGGCGUGCUUAACACAUGCAAGUCGAGCGGAAAGGCCCUUCGGGGUACUCGAGCGGCGAACGGGUGAGUAACACGUGAGUAAUCUGCCCCUAGCUCUGGGAUAGCUCCGGGAAACCGGGAUUAAUACCGGAUAUGACCACUUUAGACAUCUGUUGUGGUGGAAAGAAUUUCGGCUAGGGAUGAGCUCGCGGCCUAUCAGCUUGUUGGUGGGUAACGCCUACCAAGGCGAGACGGGUA